rnacentral:lncRNA from 10 species
GUUGCUUAGGCUGGUCUUGAGCUCCUAGCCUCAAGUCAUUCUCUUACCUUGGCCUCCCAAAGUGCUGGGAUUACAGGUGUGAGCCAUGGUGCCUGGCGACCUCACCAUUUUUGCUGACUGAAUCACUUGACUAACCUAACUAUAGCUUGCUGCUGAAGAUGCUGGCAACCUAGUAGACAAUACGUCAAGAUGUGAGGAUGCUCCAUAGUAAUGUAAUACCUUCCAUUCAACCAAGGUUAAAAGUGUCAACUAAAUGCUAAUGUCUCCACCAACCACAGAUGGGGUUUGCAGGAGCAAUGGCUGUAGGGACACUAAGAUUUCACCCUCCAGAAGACAGCAUCUUCCUGUGCCAUGGCUAGAUCACCAGCUACCCACAGACAGCCUGAACUCCAAUUGUCUUCCUGCACAUGUGCCUUUAAAGGUUUUACUGGCAUUAUUGCUUUUUUACUUCUGGUAAUUGCUUUAAAAGAACAAAGCUCUUUGUUUAAGGGGGGCCCAGGGAUCUUAUAAUUGCCACGAGGCACAUGAGAGGUUUCUAGACUUUCUAAACAGUUUCUCUUUUAACAUUAAAUAUUAAGUUCAUAAUGUUUGGCCAAGAUGUAGAUGCUCCCUAGGGAGGGGGAGGUGAUGCUAUCAGGAAGAUCGUGUAGACUGGUAAGAGAUCCCUCCUGCAUAGCUGACUUCAGAACCACAAAAAAGCGCACCUGAGGAGGGGUGCUGGCCACCCUGUGCCCAUGCAACCACCAUGUCUUGCCAGAAGCAGGGCACACUCUAGUCCCAGCUGCGUCAGGGGCUUCAGACUCAUUAAUACUAUUUUCUACAUUAAAAUAAAUGAUGACGUAUCUGUUCACCUGCAAUGAAUCACAUCAAGUCAGUUCUUAAAUGAGUGUUUCCAGAAUCCUUAGGGGCUCCAACCCAGCUAGUGCAGGGGCUCAAUGACUUAACCCUUCUUUUCCCAUGGUAUAUUUUUCCCCAGAAUUUUCCAGCCGAACUAACAGUAAUUUCAGUGACAUUAAAUACUGUUACAGGAACUUUUCAAAUGUAGAGGAGCCUUUAGAAGGAAGCCUUGAGCAUGAGGACAGACCCCCCUCAUCCAACCACCACCUGACUCUGUGUGAACCUGGAACUGUUAGAAUGUCUGUGCUGUGAUAAAAGGUCAUCUCCCUACAAUGUUAUGAUACAGACCUCAAACCUACAAACAUGAGGAACUUCUGCCUCCAGGUUAACUGCUUACCCACUGUACAAGACACGUUACACACAGUCCAGGAGGCGGAGCUUCUGAGAUAUCUAGAAACAGCUUAGAGGCAAAAUGACAAAAUAAAGCAGCAACAACAAAUAAAACCAAUCUUCUCGAACUGGC